rnacentral:rRNA from 1 species
UACGUAGGGGCCGAGCGUUGUCCGGAGUUACUGGGCGUAAAGCGCACGUAGGCGGACCGGAAAGUCAGAGGUGAAAUCCCAGGGCUCAACCUUGGAACUGCCUUUGAAACUCCUGGUCUUGAGGUCGAGAGAGGUGAGUGGAACUCCGAGUGUAGAGGUGAAAUUCGUAGAUAUUCGGAGGAACACCAGUGGCGAAGGCGGCUCACUGGCUCGAUACUGACGCUGAGGUGCGAAAGCGUGGGGAGCGAACGGG